GUCGGUAUCCAACGGAUCGCCAAUCUUUAACUUGUGGUCGAUAGAUGGCAUCAAUGGCUACAUUUUCUUCUUGGACGGCCAUACCGUCAGAUGUCUGUGCCAGAAGUUAUUCAGGGAACCAAGUUCCUUACCCUGUUUUUGAACAAUUUAACAAAAUUGAAAAAUGUGAUAUAUUUUAAUGGGAAUUUGUUGCAAUAUGUUUCUUUUCACUCAAAUAAUGCUUUAAACUAAAAAAAGAAUAAAAAAUCGAAAAAAAAAUUUCAAAAAAAUUUCAACUCGAAAAUUUCAUAAGGCUUACCCCUUACGUUUUUUUUGAGAAAUUUUGCAAAAAAAUUAAAAUUGUUUUAUUUUAAUCCCAAUUGGUUGCAAUGAGUUUCUUUUCACUCAAAUAAUGAUUGAAAUAAAAAAAAUAGUGAAAAAUAAUGAAAAAAUCAAAAAAUUCAAAAAAAUGAAAAUUUACUAAGGGUCAUUUUUGCACCAAAUUUUGCCUAUAACUCGGUCGGUAUCCAACGGAUCGCCAAUCUUUAACCUGUGGUCGAUAGAUGGCAUCAAUGGCUACAUUUUCUUCUUGGACGGCCAUGCCCUCAGAUGUCUGUGCCAGAAGUUAUUCGAGGAACCAAGUUCCUUACCCUGUUUGAGAAAAUGUAAAAUUUUUCUCAUUUUUGCACCAACUUUUGCCUAUAACUCGGUCGGUAUCCAACGGAUCGCCAAUCUUUAACUUGUGGUCGAUAGAUGGCACCAAUGGCUACAUUUUCUUCUUGGACGGCCAUACCGUCAGAUGUCUAUCCCAGAAGUUAUUCAGGGAACCAAGUUCCUUACCCUGUUUUUGAACAAUUUAGCAAAAUUGAAAAAUGUGAUAUAUUUUAAUGGGAAUUUGUUGCAAUAUGUUUCUUUUCACUCAAAUAAUGCUUUAAACUAAAAAAAGAAUAAAAAAUCGAAAAAAAAAUUUCAAAAAAAUUUCAACUCGAAAAUUUCAUAAGGCUUACCCCUUACGUUUUUUUUGAGAAAUUUUGCAAAAAAAUUAAAAUUGUUUUAUUUUAAUCUCAAUUGGUUGCAAUGAGUUUCUUUUCACUCAAAUAAUGAUUGAAAUAAAAAAAAGAGUGAAAAAUAAUGAAAAAAUAAAAAAAUUCAAAAAAAUGAAAAUUUACUAGGGGUCAUUUUUGCACCAAAUUUUGCCUAUAACUCGGUCGGUAUCCAACGGAUCGCCAAUCUUUAACCUGUGGUCGAUAGAUGGCACCAAUGGCUACAUUUUCUUCUUGAACGGCCAUACCGUCAGAUGUCUGUGCCAGAAGUUAUUCGAGGAACCAAGUUCCUUACCCUGUUUGAGAAAAUGUAAAAUUUUUCUCAUUUUUGCACCAACUUUUGCCUAUAACUCGGUCGGUAUCCAACGGAUCGCCAAUCUUUAACUUGUGGUCGAUAGAUGGCACCAAUGGCUACAUUUUCUUCUUGUACGGCCAUACCGUCAGAUGUCUGUGCCAGAAGUUAUUCAGGGAACCAAGUUCCUUACCCUGUUUUUGAACAAUUUAGCAAAAUUGAAAAAUGUGAUUUAUUUUAAUGGGAAUUUGUUGCAAUAUGUUUCUUUUCACUCAAAUAAUGCUUUAAACUAAAAAAAGAAUAAAAAAUCGAAAAAAAAAUUUCAAAAAAAUUUCAACUCGAAAAUUUCAUAAGGCUUACCCCUUACGUUUUUUUUGAGAAAUUUUGCAAAAAAAUUAAAAUUGUUUUAUUUUAAUCCCAAUUGGUUGCAAUGAGUUUCUUUUCACUCAAAUAAUGAUUGAAAUAAAAAAAAGAGUGAAAAAUAAUGAAAAAAUCAAAAAAUUCAAAAAAAUGAAAAUUUACUAAGGGUCAUUUUUGCACCAAAUUUUGCCUAUAACUCGGUCGGUAUCCAACGGAUCGCCAAUCUUUAACCUGUGGUCGAUAGAUGGCAUCAAUGGCUACAUUUUCUUCUUGGACGGCCAUGCCCUCAGAUGUCUGUGCCAGAGGUUAUUCGAGGAACCAAGUUCCUUACCCUGUUUGAGAAAAUGUAAAAUUUUUCUCAUUUUUGCACCAACUUUUGCCUAUAACUCGGUCGGUAUCCAACGGAUCGCCAAUCUUUAACUUGUGGUCGAUAGAUGGCACCAAUGGCUACAUUUUCUUCUUGGACGGCCAUACCGUCAGAUGUCUAUCCCAGAAGUUAUUCAGGGAACCAAGUUCCUUACCCUGUUUUUGAACAAUUUAGCAAAAUUGAAAAAUGUGAUAUAUUUUAAUGGGAAUUUGUUGCAAUAUGUUUCUUUUCACUCAAAUAAUGCUUUAAACUAAAAAAAGAAUAAAAAAUCGAAAAAAAAAUUUCAAAAAAAUUUCAACUCGAAAAUUUCAUAAGGCUUACCCCUUACGUUUUUUUUGAGAAAUUUUGCAAAAAAAUUAAAAUUGUUUUAUUUUAAUCUCAAUUGGUUGCAAUGAGUUUCUUUUCACUCAAAUAAUGAUUGAAAUAAAAAAAAGAGUGAAAAAUAAUGAAAAAAUAAAAAAAUUAAAAAAAAUGAAAAUUUACUAAGGGUCAUUUUUGCACCAAAUUUUGCCUAUAACUCGGUCGGUAUCCAACGGAUCGCCAAUCUUUAACCUGUGGUCGAUAGAUGGCACCAAUGGCCAUAUUUUCUUCUUGGACGGCCUUGCUCUCAGAUGUCUGUGCCAGAAGUUAUUCGAGGAACCAAGUUCCAUACCCUGUUUGAGAAAAUGUAAAAUUUUCAUCAUUUUUGAACAAUUUAGCAUAAUUUAUAAAUUUGAUAUAUUUUAAUGCGAAUUUGUUGGAAUAAGUGAAAUAAGGAAUGAAAUGUGUUGAAUUGAAAAGGACUGGCCGUUUUGCUGUUGUAGCCAUCAUGACGGACGAUAUGCGACUGACGAGUAGAAGUAUUAUUUCAACAGUUAUUUAAGAACGAACGAACGUAGUAGUGUGUGUGAAUGAUGUCUUGAAAAUACUGGACUUUUAUCUGGAAAAUAAUCCAGAAGACGUACCUCUUUUCAUAUUAUACGAAAUAGACGGAGUAAGAUUUCAUUUUGUUGGGCACCUUAACUGGUCUG